GUGGGCUACGGGGACAUGUGUCCCACCACGCUGGGCGGGAAGAUCGUGGGGACUCUGUGCGCCAUCGCGGGGGUGCUGACCAUCGCCCUCCCCGUGCCCGUCAUCGUCUCCAAU
rfam:Taeniopygia guttata chromosome 26, whole genome shotgun sequence.